UGACUUGGUGGUUAUGGCGGAGUGAACGCACCCGAUCCCAUCCCGAACUCGGCCGUGAAACGCUCCAGCGCUGAUGGUACUUUGCCUUAAGGCACGGGAGAGUAAGUCGCCGCCAGGUCU
rnacentral:rRNA from 2 species